CCUACGGGCGGCUGCAGUGGGGAAUAUUGGACAAUGGGCGAAAGCCUGAUCCAGCCAUGCCGCGUGUGUGAAGAAGGCCUUCGGGUUGUAAAGCACUUUCAGUGGGGAAGAAAGCCUUGGGGCUAAUACCCUCGAGGAAGGACAUCACCCACAGAAGAAGCACCGGCUAACUCCGUGCCAGCAGCCGCGGUAAUACGGAGGGUGCGAGCGUUAAUCGGAAUUACUGGGCGUAAAGCGCGCGUAGGCGGUCUGAUAAGCCGGUUGUGAAAGCCCCGGGCUCAACCUGGGAACGGCAUCCGGAACUGUCAGGCUAGAGUGCAGGAGAGGAAGGUAGAAUUCCCGGUGUAGCGGUGAAAUGCGUAGAGAUCGGGAGGAAUACCAGUGGCGAAGGCGGUCUUCUGGACUGACACUGACGCUGAGGUGCGAAAGCGUGGGUAGCAAACAGGAUUAGAUACCCGAGUAGUC
rnacentral:rRNA from 1 species